GGUUAAGUUAGAAAGGGCGCACGGUGGAUGCCUUGGCACUAGGAGCCGAAGAAGGACGGGACUAACACCGAUAUGCUUUGGGGAGCUGUACGUAAGCGUUGAUCCAGAGAUUUCCGAAUGGGGGAACCCACUAUCUUUAGUCGGAUAGUAUCCUUACGUGAAUACAUAGCGUGAGGAAGGCAGACCCAGGGAACUGAAACAUCUAAGUACCUGGAGGAAGAGAAAGAAAAAUCGAUUUCCUGAGUAGCGGCGAGCGAAACGGAAAGAGCCCAAACCAAGAAGCUUGCUUCUUGGGGUUGUAGGACACUCUAUACGGAGUUACAAAAGAAAGUUAUAAAUGAAGCGGUCUGGAAAGGCCCGCCAAAGACGGUAACAGCCCGGUAGUUGAAAUGGCUUUCCCUCCAGAGUGGAUCCUGAGUACGGCGGAACACGUGAAAUUCCGUCGGAAUCCGGGAGGACCAUCUCCCAAGGCUAAAUACUCCCUAGUGACCGAUAGUGAACCAGUACCGUGAGGGAAAGGUGAAAAGCACCCCGGAAGGGGAGUGAAACAGUUCCUGAAACCGUGUGCCUACAAGUAGUUAGAGCCCGUUAAUGGGUGAUAGCGUGCCUUUUGUAGAAUGAACCGGCGAGUUACGAUUUGUUGCAAGGUUAAGCGGAAAAAGCGGAGCCGUAGCGAAAGCGAGUCUGAAUAGGGCGCAUAAGUAACAGGUCGUAGACCCGAAACCAGGUGAUCUACCCAUGUCCAGGAUGAAGGUAAGGUAAUACUUACUGGAGGUCCGAACCCACGCACGUUGAAAAGUGCGGGGAUGAGGUGUGGGUAGCGGAGAAAUUCCAAUCGAACUUGGAGAUAGCUGGUUCUCUCCGAAAUAGCUUUAGGGCUAGCCUCGAGGUAAAGAGUCAUGGAGGUAGAGCACUGUUUGGACUAGGGGCCCUUCUCGGGUUACCGAAUUCAGAUAAACUCCGAAUGCCAUGUACUUAUACUCGGGAGUCAGACUGCGAGUGAUAAGAUCCGUAGUCGAAAGGGAAACAGCCCAGACCACCAGUUAAGGUCCCCAAAUAUAUGUUAAGUGGAAAAGGAUGUGGGGUUGCUUAGACAACCAGGAUGUUGGCUUAGAAGCAGCCACCAUUGAAAGAGUGCGUAAUAGCUCACUGGUCGAGUGACCCCGCGCCGAAAAUGUACCGGGGCUAAACAUAUUACCGAAACUGUGGAUGAACCUCUUUAGAGGUUCGUGGUAGGAGAGCGUUCUAAGGGCGGUGAAGUCAGACCGGAAGGACUGGUGGAGCGCUUAGAAGUGAGAAUGCCGGUAUGAGUAGCGAAAGAAGGGUGAGAAUCCCUUCCACCGAAUAUCUAAGGUUUCCUGAGGAAGGCUCGUCCGCUCAGGGUUAGUCGGGACCUAAGCCGAGGCCGAUAGGCGUAGGCGAUGGACAACAGGUAGAGAUUCCUGUACCAGUGCUAAUUGUUUAACCGAUGGGGUGACACAGAAGGAUAGGGAAUCGCACGAAUGGAAAUGUGCGUCCAAGCAGUGAGUGUGAGAAGUAGGCAAAUCCGCUUCUCGCGAAGCAUGAGCUGUGAUGGGGAAGGAAAUUAAGUACGGAAGUUCCUGAUUUCACGCUGUCAAGAAAAGCCUCUAGGAAGAGUAGUACUGCCCGUACCGCAAACCGACACAGGUAGAUGAGGAGAGAAUCCUAAGGUGAGCGAGAGAACUCUCGUUAAGGAACUCGGCAAAAUGACCCCGUAACUUCGGGAGAAGGGGUGCUCUAUUAGGGUGCAAGCCCGAGAGAGCCGCAGUGAAUAGGCCCAGGCGACUGUUUAGCAAAAACACAGGUCUCUGCAAAACCGUAAGGUGACGUAUAGGGGCUGACGCCUGCCCGGUGCUGGAAGGUUAAGAGGAGUGCUUAGCUUCGGCGAAGGUACGAAUUGAAGCCCCAGUAAACGGCGGCCGUAACUAUAACGGUCCUAAGGUAGCGAAAUUCCUUGUCGGGUAAGUUCCGACCCGCACGAAAGGCGCAACGAUCUGGGCACUGUCUCAACGAGAGACUCGGUGAAAUUAUAGUACCUGUGAAGAUGCAGGUUACCCGCGACAGGACGGAAAGACCCCGUGGAGCUUUACUGCAACCUGAUAUGGAAUGUUUGUACCGCUUGUACAGGAUAGGUAGGAGCCGAAGAGACGUGUGCGCUAGCAUACGAGGAGGCAAUGGUGGGAUACUACCCUGGCUGUAUGACCAUUCUAACCCGCCACGCUUAGCGCGUGGGGAGACAGUGUCAGGUGGGCAGUUUGACUGGGGCGGUCGCCUCCUAAAGAGUAACGGAGGCGCCCAAAGGUUCCCUCAGAAUGGAUGGAAAUCAUU
rnacentral:rRNA from 1 species